rnacentral:rRNA from 1 species
GCAAGUCGGGCGAGAAAGGUCUUCGGACUGAGUACAGCGGCGGACGGGUGAGUAACGCGUAGGAAUCUACCUGGUAGUGGGGGACAACAUGGGGAAACCCAUGCUAAUACCGCAUACGCCCCAAGGGGGAAAGCGGGGGACCUUCGGGCCUCGCGCUAUCAGAUGAGCCUGCGUAGGAUUAGCUUGUUGGUGAGGUAAAGGCUCACCAAGGCUUCGAUGGGUAGCUGGUCUGAGAGGAUGAUC